GAUGAACGCUGGCGGCGUGCCUAAUACAUGCAAGUCGAGCGAACAGACGAGGAGCUUGCUCCUCUGACGUUAGCGGCGGACGGGUGAGUAACACGUGGAUAACCUACCUAUAAGACUGGGAUAACUUCGGGAAACCGGAGCUAAUACCGGAUAAUAUAUUGAACCGCAUGGUUCAAUAGUGAAAGACGGUUUUGCUGUCACUUAUAGAUGGAUCCGCGCCGCAUUAGCUAGUUGGUAAGGUAACGGCUUACCAAGGCGACGAUGCGUAGCCGACCUGAGGGGGUGAUCGGCCACACUGGAACUGAGCCGCGGUCCAGACUCCUACGGGAGGCAGCAGUAGGGAAUCUUCCGCAAUGGGCGAAAGCCUGACGGAGCAACGCCGCGUGAGUGAUGAAGGUCUUCGGAUCGUAAAACUCUGUUAUUAGGGAAGAACAAAUGUGUAAGUAACUAUGCACGUCUUGACGGUACCUAAUCAGAAAGCCACGGCUAACUACGUG
rnacentral:rRNA from 1 species